UACGUAGGGUCCGAGCGUUGUCCGGAAUUACUGGGCGUAAAGAGCUCGUAGGUGGUUUGUCGCGUUGUUCGUGAAAACUCACAGCUCAACUGUGGGCGUGCGGGCGAUACGGGCAGACUAGAGUACUGCAGGGGAGACUGGAAUUCCUGGUGUAGCGGUGAAAUGCGUAGAUAUCUGGAGGAACACCGGUGGCGAAAGCGGCUCACUGGAUCGAUACUGACGCUGAGGUGCGAAAGCUAGGGUAGCAAACGGG
rnacentral:rRNA from 1 species